GGAAUAUUGGUCAAUGGACGCAAGUCUGAACCAGCCAUGCCGCGUAAAGGACGAAGGUCCUCUGGAUUGUAAACUUCUUUUAUCUGGGACGAAAACGGGAUUUUUAUCUCAAUUGACGGUACCAGAGGAAUAAGCACCGGCUAACUCCGUGCCAGCAGCCGCGGUAAUACGGAGGGUGCGAGCGUUAUCCGGAUUUACUGGGUUUAAAGGGUGCGUAGGUGGGCUUAUAAGUCAGUGGUGAAAUCUCCGAGCUUAACUUGGAAACUGCCGUUGAUACUAUAGGUCUUGAAUUAUCUGGAGGUAAGCGGAAUAUGUCAUGUAGCGGUGAAAUGCUUAGAUAUGACAUAGAACACCAAUUGCGAAGGCAGCUUACUACAUAUAAAUUGACGCUGAGGCACGAAAGCGUGGG
rnacentral:rRNA from 1 species